GAUGAAGAACGCAGCGAAAUGCGAUACUUGGUGUGAAUUGCAGAAUCCCGUGAACCAUCGAGUCUUUGAACGCAAGUUGCGCCCGAAGCCAUUAGGCCGAGGGCACGCCUGCCUGGGUGUCACACGUCGUUGCCCCCCCAUCUACUCCUUCGGGAUUGCGGGGGGCGGAUGAUGGCCUCCCGUGCGCCUCGUCGCGCGGUUGGCAUAAAUGCCAAGUCCUCGGCGACGCACGCAACGACAAUCGGUGGUUGCGAAACCUCGGUUGCCCGUCGUGUGCGGUCGUCGCGCAUCGAGGGCUCGAAAAAAUUGCCGGGCUCCGGCUCGGCUUUCAACGCGACCCCAGGUCAGGCGGGGUUACCCGCUGAAUUUAAGCAUAUCAAUAAGCGGAGGA
rnacentral:misc_RNA from 1 species